GACGAACGCUGGCGGCGUGCCUAAUACAUGCAAGUAGAACGCAGUUGCGAACGGGUGAGUAACGCGUAGGUAACUGCCUGGUAGCGGGGGGUAACUAUUGGAAACGAUAGCUAAUACCGCAUACUACCAGAUGGACCUGCGUUGUAUUAGCUAGUUGGUGAGGUAACGGCUCACCAAGGCAACGAUACAUAGCCGAGCCGAUAAGGGUGACGGGCACACUGGGACGUGGAACCGGCCCAGACCUCUGCGGGAGGGAUCAGUAGGGAAUUAUUGAAAAGUGGGCGAACCCUGACCGCGCAACGCCGCGGGAGUGAAGAAGGUCUUCGGAUCGUAAAGCUCUGUUCUUAAGGAAGCGGUACUUAACCAAAAAGGAACGGCUAACUACGUGCCAGCAGCCGCGGUAAUAC
rnacentral:rRNA from 1 species